rnacentral:rRNA from 1 species
UACGAAGGGGGCUAGCGUUGCUCGGAAUCACUGGGCGUAAAGCGCACGUAGGCGGAUUGUUAAGUCAGGGGUGAAAUCCUGGAGCUCAACUCCAGAACUGCCUUUGAUACUGGCGAUCUCGAGUCCGGGAGAGGUGAGUGGAACUGCGAGUGUAGAGGUGAAAUGCGUAGAUAUCUGGAGGAACACCGGUGGCGAAGGCGGCAUCCUGGACCGGUAUUGACGCUGAGGCGCGAAAGCCAGGGGAGCAAACGGG